GCCGCUAUCGUCUAGUCUGGUCUAGGACACAUGGUUCUCAACCAUGGAACUCGGGUUCGAAUCCCGAUGGCGGCACCA
rnacentral:tRNA from 1 species